AGCUUAAAAUAUAAUAUGUCUCUACAAUCUUUUUAACACGCAUGCAAUUAAAUAGACUAGAUAUAACGUAUUUAACAUAUUGAUGUCACCCCCUCAAGAGUUAUUUGAAGAAGCAGGUAUGAAGCAAAUCUGAUGCAAGCAAUGACACAAAAGCAUGACCAAGAAAGAAGAAGCUCUACGGACUGGCCACUGUGUUUAGAAGGAAGGCAGUUAGUGUACAGCACCCUCCGCCUACUUUCGGGCUACUCUUCUCUGACAGAAUCGUGAAAUGUGACCGUCACCUGUCCAGUGCAACCAAGGACCUAAAGUGCAGAUCUCGAUUUUGCAACAACACGCCACAAACCUCAGAUCUUCGCAUUCAAAGUCCGAGCACACUCGGCCAUUAUGAAAACCUGUCUUGGGAUUCAAGUGUUCUUUAAAUCCAGCCUACUCUGAUAAUCAAAAUUCAUUGUA